CGACGCAAUAUUCAUCGACCCAUCGAAGUGUAACGGGGCCACAGUCAUCACCGAAGAUGAUCGCGAGGGUGUCUACUACACUGUCGUCACCACAAACUACAAAGAGUACGCUGUCGUGGUCGCCUGCACUCUGGACAACGCUCCAAUGAUCAAGUGGGCCUGGAUCCAGACGCGAAGACCACGCCUGCGCCGCGGCACUUUGCGGGUUCUACGCCACCUGCUGGAGGCCUAUGGCUUCUCGCCCGAGCAGCUCACGAUGCAGAACCCGGAAUCUUGUGCCCGAUUGCGAAGGAAACCAUUGAACUCUUCGCAGCCAGCCAGCGUUCUUCUCUUCUAGAUGCGAUACUCAGUUUCACCGCAGAUACGUCCGCCGCCAUUGCGAAAGUAGCGCAGUUCCUCUCAUAAACGUGUGCACGGAAAACGCUGCGCCAUGCA